rnacentral:misc_RNA from 1 species
GUAGGUGAACCUGCGGAAGGAUCAUUCAUAAUAAGUGUUUAUGGCACUUUUUAAAUCCAUAUCCACCUUGUGUGCAAUGUCAGCCGUCUUUUCUUUAUGGAAAGGCAGCCAAACAUCAACUUAUUUUUUUAACUGUCUGUCUGAAAACUAUUAUGAAUAAACAAUUCAAAUACAACUUUCAACAACGGAUCUCUUGGCUCUC